rnacentral:rRNA from 1 species
GACGAACGCUGGCGGCGUGCCUAAUACAUGCAAGUUGAGCGCUGAAGGUUGGUACUUGUACCAACUGGAUGAGCAGCGCACGGGUGAGUAACGCGUGGAGAAUCUGCCUUUGAGCGGGGGACAACAUGUGGAAACGAAUGCUAAUACCGCAUAAAAACUUUAAACACAAGUUUUAAGUUUGAAAGAUGCAAUUGCAUCACUCAAAGAUGAUCCCGCGUUGUAUUAGCUGGUUGGUGAGGUAAAGGCUCACCAAGGCGAUGAUACAUAGCCGACCUGACAGGGUGAGCGGCCACAUUGGGACGGAGACCCGGCCCAAAGUCCUACGGGAGGCAGCAGUAGGGAAUCGUCGGGAAUGGACGGAAGUCUGACCGAGCAACGCCGCGUGAGUGAAGAAGGUUGUCGGGUCGUAAAACUCGGUUGGUAGGUAAGAACGUUGGUGAGAGUGGAAAGCUCAGCAAGUGACGGUAACUACUCAGAAAGGGACGGCUAACUACGUG